rnacentral:rRNA from 1 species
GAUGAACGCUGGCGGCGUGCCUAAUACAUGCAAGUCGAGCGAACGGACGAGAAGCUUGCUUCUCUGAUGUUAGCGGCGGACGGGUGAGUAACACGUGGAUAACCUACCUAUAAGACUGGGAUAACUUCGGGAAACCUGAGCUAAUACCGGAUGAUAUUUUGAACCGCAGGGUUCAAAAGUGAAAGACGUUCUUGCUGUCACUUAUAGAUGGAUCCUCGCUGCAUUAGCUAGUUGGUAAGGUAACGGCUUACCAAGGCAACGAUGCAUAGCCGACCUGAGAGGGUGAUCGGCCACACUGGAACUGAGACACGGUCCAGACUCCUACGGGAGGCAGCAGUAGGGAAUAUUCCGCAAUGGGCGAAAGCCUGACGGAGCAACGCCGCGUGAGUGAUGAAGGUCUUCGGAUCGUAAAACUCUGUUAUUAGGGAAGAACAUAUGUGUAAGUAACUGUGCACAUCUUGACGGUACCUAAUCAGAAAGCCACGGCUAACUACGUG